UACAGAGGUCCCAAGCGUUGUUCGGAUUCACUGGGCGUAAAGGGUGCGUAGGUGGCUUGGUAAGUUUGAUGUGAAAUCUCCGGGCUUAACCCGGAAAUGGCAUUGAAUACUACUGUGCUGGAGGUUUGGAGGGGGGACUGGAAUUCUCGGUGUAGCAGUGAAAUGCGUAGACAUCGAGAGGAACACCAGUGGCGAAGGCGAGUCCCUGGACAACACCUGACACUGAGGCACGAAAGCUAGGGGAGCAAACAGG
rnacentral:rRNA from 1 species